rnacentral:rRNA from 1 species
CCUGAACGCUGGCGGCGUGGCUAAGACAUGCAAGUCGCACGGUGUAGCAAUACACAGUGGCGAACGGGUGAGUAAUGAAUCGCUAAUGUGCCCCGGACUCUGGGAUAGCUACCCGAAAGGGUAGGUAAUACCAGACGAUAUAACUCUGUCGCAUGGCAGGGUUCUCAAAGGUCCGCCGGUCUGGGAGCAGGCGAUUUCGUAUCAGCUAGUUGGUGAGGUAACGGCUUACCAAGGCGAUGACGCGUAGCUGGUCUGAGAGGACGGCCAGCCACAUCGGGACUGAGACACUGCCCGGACUCCUACGGGGGGCUGCAGUAACGAAUCUUCCACAAUGCACGAAAGUGUGAUGGAGCGACGCCGCGUGUAGGA